ACAGCAGCCGCCACGGGAAUACGGAGGGUGCAAGCGUUAAUCGGAAUUACUGGGCGUAAAGCGCACGCAGGCGGCUUCUUAAGUCGGAUGUGAAAUCCCUGAGCUUAACUUAGGAAUUGCAUUCGAUACUGGGAAGCUAGAGUAUGGGAGAGGAUGGUAGAAUUCCAGGUGUAGCGGUGAAAUGCGUAGAGAUCUGGAGGAAUACCGAUGGCGAAGGCAGCCAUCUGGCCUAAUACUGACGCUGAGGUACGAAAGCAUGGGGAGCAAACAGGAUUAGAUACCCCUGUAGUCCCUGUCUCUUAUAC
rnacentral:rRNA from 1 species